UGAAUCAGUGUGUGUGUUAGUGGAAGCGUCUGGAAAGGCGCGCGAUACAGGGUGACAGCCCCGUACACAAAAAUGCACAUACUGUGAGCUCGAUGAGUAGGGCGGGACACGUGGUAUCCUGUCUGAAUAUGGGGGGACCAUCCUCCAAGGCUAAAUACUCCUGACUGACCGAUAGUGAACCAGUACCGUGAGGGAAAGGCGAAAAGAACCCCGGCGAGGGGAGUGAAAAAGAACCUGAAACCGUGUACGUACAAGCAGUGGGAGCCUCUUUUAUGGGGUGACUGCGUACCUUUUGUAUAAUGGGUCAGCGACUUAUAUUCUGUAGCAAGGUUAACCGAAUAGGGGA
rnacentral:rRNA from 1 species